CUUUAAAACAGCUUAACUGGUUACCAGUCAAUUAUAUGUUGCGAUUCCGAGAUACAGUAAUGGCUUAUAAAUGUGUUAAUGGUAUGGCCCCAUCAUAUUUAUGUCGUAUGUUCCAAACAAGAUCACAAUUACACAAUUUGGACACAAGAUCUAGCGAAUUAUUGGAAAUACCUUUAUAUAGAACAGCGACCGGACAACGUUCUUUUCGCUACCGAGCUUCUUGUUUAUGGAACAGUUUGCCAGAAUGGCUAAAAGACCAUAAUCUUAAUUUGGAACGUUUUAAAAGCGGGCUACGAAGUUAUUUGGUUCAACCAUUUCUCGAUGAACAGAACUGAAUUACAUCUUUUACUGACUAAAUUUUAAAUUAAAUAGUAUUAAUAACUAUUUUACCUUAAAUAUAACUAGCUUGAUAUUAUAUAUUUUGGUGUUAAUAGUAUAUUAUAUAGUUUUUAGAAUAUAAUUUAAUUAAGUAAUUACUUUUAUAACUUCUGUAUUGAACACUGAAAAACCCUUCUGGGAGUGUUUAACAUUAAUAAUAAUAAUAAUAAUAAUAAUAUUUGAUAUGCCGAUUUCCGUUAAUUUUAGACACAUCCCAAAAUACGCUUCCGAUUUUGAACAUUCAUAUCUCCGUGAAUUUCUAAGUAAAAUACAACUGUUAUAUAUCAAAAUCUAAGUUAGUCCUUCCUCUAUUUAAUGCAGUUAUUUCUGUUUGAUAGCUAUACUUGUUUAGAAGUUAUUUAAAAUCAAACCGGAGUACUUUUUUUGGGACACCCGGUAUAUAUAAUCUUAUAAUCUUACCUUAAUCUUAUCUUUGUUAAUCUUUCCGCGUCCUGUCAGCUUAUCACAUAACAUGUUAAUUAAAUCGUGUGGUUUGUAAAUAGGAUUAAGUUUUUUAAAGUCUCAUAUCAUCCACUUGAAUACAUA